AACGAACGCUGGCGGCAUGCCUAACACAUGCAAGUCGAACGAGAUCUUCGGGUCUAGUGGCGCACGGGUGCGUAACGCGUGGGAAUCUGCCCUUUGGUUCGGAAUAGCAGUUGGAAACGACUGCUAAUACCGGAUGAUGACGAAAGUCCAAAGAUUUAUCGCCAGAGGAUGAGCCCGCGUAGGAUUAGCUAGUUGGUGUGGUAAAGGCGCACCAAGGCGACGAUCCUUAGCUGGUCUGAGAGGAUGAUCAGCCACACUGGGACUGAGACACGGCCCGUACUCCUACGGGAGGCAGCAGUGGGGAAUAUGGGAAGAGGGGCGAAAGCCUGAUCAAGAAUUGCGGCGGGGGUGAAGAGGGCUUGAGGGUUGUAAAGCUCUUUUACCCGGGAUGAUAAUGACAGUACCGGGAAAAUAAGCUCCGGCUACCUCCGGGCCAGCCGCCGAAGUAA
rnacentral:rRNA from 1 species